rnacentral:rRNA from 1 species
AUUGAACGCUGGCGGCAGGCCUAACACAUGCAAGUCGAGCGGUAACAGGAAAGCGCUUGCGCUUUUGCUGACGAGCGGCGGACGGGUGAGUAAUGUCUGGGGAUCUGCCCGAGGGCGGGGGAUAACCACUGGAAACGGUGGCUAAUACCGCAUAAUGUCGCGAGACCAAAGUGGGGGACCUGAAAGGGCCUCACGCCAUCGGAUGAACCCAGAUGGGAUUAGCUGGUAGGUAGGGUAAUGGCCUACCUAGGCGACGAUCCCUAGCUGGUCUGAGAGGAUGACCAGCCACACUGGGACUGAGACACGGCCCAGACUCCUACGGGAGGCAGCAGUGGGGAAUAUUGCACAAUGGGCGCAAGCCUGAUGCAGCCAUGCCGCGUGUAUGAAGAAGGCCUUCGGGUUGUAAAGUACUUUCAGCGGGGAGGAAGGGUGUAGC